rnacentral:rRNA from 1 species
AGUGAACGCUGGCGGUAGGCCUAACACAUGCAAGUCGAACGGCAGCACAGUACUUGCUUGUGCUUACGGGGGCCGAGGGGCGGACGGUGCCUGAAUACAUGCCAGGCUGCGUGGGCGUGGGGGCUAACACGGGGAAACUUACGCCAAUAGCGCAGAGGGCCUACGUGUGGGAGCUUCGGAUCUUCCGAUCUCGGGUGAGUGUAGGUCGGAUUAGCUAGUUGGUGGGGUAAAGGCGUACCAAGGCGACGAUCCGUAACUGGUCUGAGAGGAUGAUCAGCCACACUGGAACUGAGACACGGUCCAGACUCCUACGGGAGGCAGCAGUGGGGAAUAUUGGACAAUGGGCGAAAGCCUGAUCCAGCCAUACCGCGUGGGUGAAGAAGGCCUUCGGAUUGUAAAGCCCUUUUGGUGGGAAAGAAGAGCAGCAGGUUAAUACCUCGCUGUUCUGACGGUACCAAAAGAAUAAGCACCGGCUAACUUCGUG